GGGUGGUUAAACGCAUUCCAUGGACAUAGGUAGAGAUGGUGUUGUUAGAUUUGAUUAAGGAGACAUAAUGAUGAUUUGAGAAUGCAAAUUAGAUUGUGUUGAACACAGCUCUUUUACCUUAUAUAAAAGCAUGAAAAGGAUGUUUUGACUUAAAGGGACAUUAUUGAUGUUUGAGUUGAAUGCUGGUGUUAAUUACAUGUGUUAGAAAAUCAAAAGGAAAAUUUAACAUGGAUGACUAUUCAAUGUCCACUUAUCACUCAGGAUCAUCUAUUGCUAUCCUUUAGUUUAAUAUUUAAGUGCUAGUGUGCAUUAUUUUAUGUUAAUUGAUUUGGUAAAUGAAGGAAAUUGAUGAUAUAAAAUUUAUGAAAGAAAAUUAUAGGAAUCACGUGGUGCUGCUGCCUUAUAAAAUAGUCCCUAAUUAGAAAAUANAAAGGGUAACCACGUGAUUCUCCAUUUGCCAGCUACCAUCACGAUCAACAUCAUCUAUCAUCUCAAUUUGUAAUUUUUGUUAUGGACAUGACAACAAACCAAAUCUCUUUUUUUUUUCUUUUUUUUUUUAAAUUGCAUAGACUUUAGAAAACAGGGUAGUAAAUGGGUUUUAAUAUCUCCAACGACUGCUUCGGAAGAAAAUAUNUAUGUCUUCG
rnacentral:lncRNA from 1 species